rnacentral:rRNA from 1 species
CAAUAGCCGCGGUAAUACGAAGGGUGCAAGCGUUAAUCGGAAUUACUGGGCGUAAAGCGUGCGUAGGCGGUGAGUUAAGUCUGCUGUGAAAUCCCCGGGCUCAACCUGGGAACUGCGCUUGUGACUGCACAGCUAGAGUAUGGCAGAGGGGGGUGGAAUUCCACGUGUAGCAGUGAAAUGCGUAGAGAUGUGGAGGAACGCCGAUGGCGAAGGCAGCCCCCUGGGCCAAUACUGACGCUCAUGCACGAAAGCGUGGGGAGCAAACAGGAUUAGAUACCCCGGUAGUCCCUGUCUCUUAUAC